UACAGAGGUCUCAAGCGUUGUUCGGAUUCAUUGGGCGUAAAGGGUGCGUAGGUGGCGCCGUAAGUCAGGUGUGAAAUUUCGGAGCUUAACUCCGAAACUGCAUUUGAUACUGCGGUGCUUGAGGACUGGAGAGGAGACUGGAAUUCACGGCGUAGCAGUGAAAUGCGUAGAGAUCGUGAGGAAGACCAGUGGCGAAGGCGGGUCUCUGGACAGUUCCUGACACUGAGGCACGAAGGCCAGGGGAGCAAACGGG
rnacentral:rRNA from 1 species